rnacentral:tRNA from 1 species
GGGCCUAUAGCUUAGUGGUAGAGCACUCGGUUUGCAUCCGAGAGAUCGGGGUUCGACUCCCCGUAGGUCCA